UGUCCUCCAUAGGAGGUCUAUAUUGAGCAGAUUCUUUUUGGUAUUGGGUGGUGGAACCGGAGCAUGCUCCAUCCACUCCAUGCAUUGACCUGGUAUUACAGUGCUUCCAGGACCGGUGC
rnacentral:snRNA from 1 species